rnacentral:rRNA from 1 species
AGCGAACGCUGGCGGCAGGCCUAACACAUGCAAGUCGAACGAAGUCUUCGGACUUAGUGGCGGACGGGUGAGUAACACGUGGGAACGUGCCUUUAGGUUCGGAAUAACUCAGGGAAACUUGUGCUAAUACCGAAUGUGCCCUUCGGGGAAAGAUUUAUCGCCUUUAGAGCGGCCCGCGUCUGAUUAGCUAGUUGGUGAGGUAAAGGCUCACCAAGGGUACGAUCAGUAGCUGGUCUGAGAGGAUGACCAGCCACAUUGGGACUGAGACACGGCCCAAACUCCUACGGGAGGCAGCAGUGGGGAAUCUUGCGCAAUGGGCGAAAGCCUGACGCAGCCAUGCCGCGUGGAUGAUGAAGGUCUUAGGAUUGUAAAAUCCCUUCACCGGUGAAGAUAAUGACUGUAGCCGGAGAAGAAGCCCCGGCUAACUUCGUGCCAGCCGCCGCCGUAAUAC